GGCCCAGGCAGGGGCUGCUCCAGACCGCCCACCCCUGCCCGCUGGCGCCCAGCUGCACGGCCCCAGCGCGGCGGCCACAGCGCUCGCCCCUGAGGCGGAGCGACGGACGACAGCGCCCGGCGCACCCUCCCGCACGAUUGGAGCCGCCGGGAGUUAGAGCCCCAGGUGCCCGGCGCCCAUCCGCAAGGAGCAGAGCAUCGGGCCAGGGCGCAGGGCCAGGCUGGCGCGGCCGGUCCGCUUUUGCCCGAGCCUGUCAUCCGCCCGGUUUCCUCCGAGAGCAUCCCCGCACAGGACCGCUCUCCACGACCGUAUCUGGAUCCAGUUAGGAUCAUCUACUAGUUGCAUGUUCGUUGUCUUAAAUAUUUUGAGUUACCUCUUAUCAAGAGGCGCAUGACCCUCGCCUAUGAGAGUUCUAAGCCCCUAUCUACCUCUUAGCUCUGUGCCAGAGGGCCUCUUACUUAAUUUCUGUGCCUUCAAUGACCAUCUUGUAAAAUGCUAAUAAUAAGGGCCAGCAGGUGGCGUGGCGGUUAAGGUGUUGCACUCCCACUUGGCUGACCAUGGUUUGAGUUUGGGACAUGGUGGCUUGCUUUCUUACUUUCCCUCUCUCUCUCUUUGUCUCUUUGGCGAAUUAAAAUAAUAACAAUAAAUUAAAACUAAAUAAUUAUUUUUGAGGACUAAACGCAAAGGCUAGCGCCCAAGAGAUAUGAACAAUUGCUAUUUUCCAUGGCAAGGGAUACCGAUUCGCCAUGCAUACCGUUAAUGAUGUAAAGGUAACUCUCAAAUAAAUGUAUUUAAACUCAUCUUUAAAAGAGCUCAUCUAAAUGAAAAUUAUGUGAAUAAUAGGAGGAGAGAUGUUGGCCUGAGAAAGGGUACACGGGCCAGCUGGUGCCAUAGCGGUUAAAGCAGCUGGAUUCCACAUCUUUGACCUCAGGGCUUGAGUCCCGGACCUAGGAUCUUGAAAGACCAGCCAGGCUUGCGCAUGCCCAGAAUCCUGAAGGGAUACUGGAGAAGAGAUUGCUGCAUGGCCUUCUCUCCUGGGGAGUGCUUUGUUUCUUUCUCUGUGCAGCCUCUAGCAAAAUUUUAAAAUCUAAAUAAAGAGUUUCUGGAGCCUCCAGGG